rnacentral:rRNA from 1 species
AUUGAACGCUGGCGGCAUGCCUUACACAUGCAAGUCGAACGGCAGCGGACCUUCGGGUGCCGGCGAGUGGCGAACGGGUGAGUAAAGUAUCGGAACGUACCUUUCAGUGGGGGAUAACGUAGCGAAAGUUACGCUAAUACCGCAUAUUCUCUGAGGAGGAAAGCAGGGGACCUUCGGGCCUUGCGCUGAUGGAGCGGCCGAUAUCAGAUUAGCUAGUUGGUGGGGUAAAGGCCUACCAAGGCGACGAUCUGUAGGGGGUCUGAGAGGAUGAUCCGGCAAACUGGGACUGAGAAACGGCCGAGACUCCUACGGGAGGCGGAAGUGGGGAAUUUUGGACAAUGGGCGAAAGCCUGAUCCAGCCAUGCCGCGUGAGUGAAGAAGGCCUUCGGGUUGUAAAGCUCUUUCGGCCGGGAAGGAAUCGUGUGGGCUAAUACCCUGCAUGGAUGACGGUACCGGAAUAAGAAGCACCGGCUAACUACGUGCCAGCCGCCGCCGUAAUAC